CAGGGCGGAGUUUGCGAACCAUUGGUUUAUACCAACAGAAAUGAAUAACAUGAAGUGAAAGAAAAAACCGAAUUUUCUCCGUUUCCACAAUUUUGUACCAAAUGAAACUUUAUUAAGACUACUUAGGACUUUUUCUAAAAAUGCAGUACACAUUACCUGAAAUGAAACCAUUGCGUGACGGAAACAGUCACCAAAAGUACAGAAAGAAUUCAACAUUACCACCUGCUGACCCGAUAUGGUUGCUUCCGACGGCUAUUUACUUGUGCGCAUGCCCAUGCACGCCUUCCUACCAGACCCCGCCACAACUGAACCACAAACUGAUACGAAUGGGUGAUGUGGUGGCGUUUCCCGGCUAACCACCAAACAAGCUGAGAGAAUCGGACACACUGCCUCGGGGUAGUAUGGCUUUCGCUGGUCUGACUGCGCACAUGGAGUUACGCAUACUGUCCUCUGAUUGGCUCUGAUUUUUCUGCACGUUCAUGUGCGAUCUCCACUGUGGAGACAUCCCUGGUUCGUGAUGUCACCGGCCUGCGUCUGCAGAUCGCUUCAUUGAUUGGACAGAAACGGAGACGGGUACCCAACUGACCAGCGGGUGUCGCUGGUGCACAACAAGGUUAUGUCUGCCAGACUGACUGAAACCUCUCCAUCCCUGGGCAACACUGGAUUAUACGAUCUGUGACUGGAACCAAAUGUACCUCACUCUGUGGGGCUUCUGACCACAGUGAGUACUGCCACAGUCUGAAUCCCAUGGCAGGCUCUGGGGCCUACUAAUGCUGUAGAACAGUGCCUUAACAGGACAAACCGAACAAGUGCAGGUUUUAAAUGCUCUUUGCAAUAAACCAGUGGGAAUGUUUUAAUGAGUGAGCUGGUUAGUUCUGAUUCACUCUGCAUGAAUACUUUUUUGUUGUCUUGCACUGGUAGUAAUGUCUGUACAUGCUAACCGCUCCAAACAACGCUAAAGAUAAUAAUGGGAGUUGAGAUGUGUCGGCUACUAUCUGAUAGUUUAAUUGAUGAAAGUCUUAUUUUUGACAGCAGAUGGUCAAUGUGUACCGCAGAACAUAUUCUCUUUAACUUUUCCUUCAGUUAACAGAUUGGGUUGUUUUAUUAGGGAUGAAUUGUGCUUUAAGAAACAAAUCUUUCCUGAUCUGUGUUUACCAAACAAAGUUUCAGGUGGAGGCCAGUAGAGGGCGCUGUUACUCUUAUAAAAGCAUCAUCGCCAACCAGUCAGUUCUAUCAUUGACCUGCACGCUCAAACAAAAAAUAAUCCUAGAUCAGUAUGCAGUUGAAGUUGGGUCUGAGAGAGUUAUUUCCA